rnacentral:rRNA from 1 species
UACAGAGGGUGCCAGCGUUAAUCGGAAUUACUGGGCGUAAAGCGUGCGUAGGCGGUCGUGUAAGUCGGGUGUGAAAGCCCCGGGCUCAACCUGGGAAUUGCAUUCGAGACUGCACGGCUGGAGUGCGGAAGAGGGAAGCGGAAUUUCCGGUGUAGCGGUGAAAUGCGUAGAUAUCGGAAGGAACCUCAGUGGCGAAAGCGGCUUCCUGGUCCAGCACUGACGCUCAGGCAAGAAAGCGUGGGUAGCAAACAGG